rnacentral:rRNA from 1 species
AACGAACGCUGGCGGCGCGCCUAAUACAUGCAAGUCGAGCGAGAAGACGUAGCAAUACGUUUGUAAAGCGGCGAACGGGUGAGGAAUACAUGGGUAACCUACCCUCGAGUGGGGAAUAACUAGCCGAAAGGUUAGCUAAUACCGCGUACGCUCCUCGGACUUCGGUUCAGGGAGGAAAGCGAUACCGUGGGUAUCGCGCUCUUGGAUGGGCUCAUGUCCUAUCAGCUUGUUGGUGAGGUAACGGCUCACCAAGGCUUCGACGGGUAGCUGGUCUGAGAGGACGAUCAGCCACACUGGCACUGCGACACGGGCCAGACUCCUACGGGGAGGCAGCAGUAAGGAAUAUUGGACAAUGGGCGCAAGCCUGAUCCAGCCAUGCCGCGUGAGUGAUGAA